GGGAUGCUCCUGAUUCAGCCCCCCAAGCAGCUGAGAUUACAGUGGUCCACCCCCAGCCCCUGGACAUUUUUACUCAACUAAGAUGAUUACAUACAGAACAGGACUGGAAAAGAAUUCCAGAGGAAUCUUGAUCCUAGAUUGCAGAUAUGCAUUGUAGAUCGUCAAGUGGUCCGAAUCUGCUAUAGCCAAAGCUGAUUUUGCAAGAUCUGCUUCAUCUUUUCGACCAAUUGGU